rnacentral:rRNA from 1 species
CCUACGGUAGGCAGCAGUCGAGAAUCAUUCACAAUGGGGGAAACCCUGAUGGUGCGACGCCGCGUGGGGGAAUGAAGGUCUUCGGAUUGUAAACCCCUGUCAUGUGGGAGCACAUUCACAAGAUAGUACCACAAUAGGAAGAGACGGCUAACUCUGUGCCAGCCGCCGCGGUAAUACAGAGGUCUCACGCGUUGUUCGGAAUCACUGGGCGUAAAGCGUGCGUAGGCUGUUUCGUAAGUCGUGUGUGAAAGGCGCGGGCUCAACCCGCGGACGGCACAUGAUACUGCGAGACUAGAGUAAUGGAGGGGGAACCGGAAUUACCGGUGUAGCAGUGAAAUGCGUAGAUAUCGGGAGGAACACUCGUGGCGAAGGCGGGUUCCUGGACAUUAACUGACGCUGAGGCACGAAGGCCAGGGGAGCGAAAGGGAUUAGAUACCCUGGUAGUC